rnacentral:rRNA from 1 species
GAUGAACGCUGGCGGCGUGCUUAACACAUGCAAGUCGAACGGGAAACCUUUUAUUGAAGCUUCGGCAGAUUUAGCUGGUUUCUAGUGGCGGACGGGUGAGUAACGCGUGGGUAACCUGCCUUAUACAGGGGGAUAACGGUCAGAAAUGGCUGCUAAUACCGCAUAAGCGCACAGAGCUGCAUGGCUCAGGGUGAAAAACUCCGGUGGGAUAAGAUGGACCCGCGUUGGAUUAGCUGGUUGGUGGGGUAACGGCCCACCAAGGCGACGAUCCAUAGCCGGCCUGAGAGGGUGAACGGCCACAUUGGGACUGAGACACGGCCCAGACUCCUACGGGAGGCAGCAGUGGGGAAUAUUGCACAAUGGGGGAAACCCUGAUGCAGCGACGCCGCGUGAAGGAAGAAGUAUCUCGGUAUGUAAACUUCUAUCAGCAGGGAAGAUAAUGACGGUACCUGACGAAGAAGCCCCGGCUAACUACGUG